AAUAUGAAGUGUAAAAACACAGGUCGGUUGGUAGUCCGGUCGCAUUAGCAUAUCAACUAAUGUCAGUAACCUUCCCCCCUCGGGAUGUCCAUCACUUCAUUAUUUUUA
rfam:Aneurinibacillus migulanus strain DSM 2895 super7, whole genome shotgun sequence.